CAGCGCCACGAGUGGGGAUCCUGUUUAUUUGGCCUAAAGCGUCCGUAGCUGGCCGCAUAAAUCUCUUGUGAAAUUGUCUGGCUCAACCAGGCAGCGUGCAGGAGAGACUGUGCGGCUAGGAACCGGGAGGCGUCAGAGGUAUGUUGGGGGGAGCGGUAAAAUGCUAUAAUCCCCGAUGGACCACCUGUGGCGAAGGCGUCUGACGAGAACGGGUUCGACAGUGAGGGACGAAAGCCAGGGGAGCAAACCGGAUUAGAUACCCGAGUAGUCC
rnacentral:rRNA from 1 species